UUUCCACUGCACCACAACAGGAACUCCAAAGCCCACCAUUUUUAAAUUUCCACCAUUUUUAAAUCCCAGGGUGCAGAAUGGAAGACUCUUAACUCUGGUUAAAAAGAGCCCUCUUGAGCUUACCAGGAAUGAGGGGCGGCCCCAGGUUGCCUGGCUCCCUGUGGGUGAAGUUGUACCAUGGCCCCCAUCCCACUGAUCUUCAGUGGGCACUUGGCUUGCUCUUGCCCCGAAGAACCUGUGGGAACAGAGUUGCACAGGUUUGUAGGCCAGGUGCCAGCUGAGUGCCUGGGACUGAGAGAUUUGUAGAAGAUGGAUUCUGGGCUAGCACUUUUUUUCUGGGGCCACUGACACCCUCAGAGCUUGGGAAUGGGGAAGCUGGGAUACGGAUGGGGGUAUGUUUGAAGAAGAGAAUGUCAGUGGAGGUAAGGUGGCUAAGCCAGGCACGGUGGGCAUGAUGCCCAGAGCAACACCCAGUUUCUGAUAGAUUCUGUAGGUUCUUAGGAAUUCAUGGUCCUUGUUACCCGUCUAUUUUAUAUAUACACUAUGUGUAUGUGUCAAUCUCAACCCCAUAAAUUAUCCCUUCCCCCCCAUGUUUCCCCUUUGGUAACCAUCAUAAGUUUGGUUUCGAAAAAUUUGGGUCUGUUUCUGUUUUGUAAAUUCUAUUGUGUCAUUUCUAUUAGAUUCCAUAUAUUAGCGAUCUCACAUGAUAGUUGUCUUUCUCUGACUUACUUCACUUAGCACUUUUCUGUGUAUGGGAAGAUGUAAGAGUCUGGGCUCACUGACCUCAUUCCUUUGAUAUGCACCUCGGCUGUCUAGGGCCAGUUAACUGUGCUUUCCCAUCCCGAGUCUACUCGGGGUGCACCAUUGAGGGGUGGCUGCGGUGGCUGAGGGCUUGGCUGUGGACAGCCUGUUUGUGUCUAUCCUGAGUUCCCUCAGGGCUCACCUUUGGGGCUGCGAUUGUGGUUGAGGGCUCAGUGGCUGCAGCAUUCUAUGUUCACUGAUAUGCAGGCAACAUUCUCCAUCCACAGUGGGAAGGAGCAGUUGGGUGCGGCAGUGCUGGGCAGCCCUCCAGUGUGUCAUAUUUAGGGUGGCUUUGGGACUCCCAAAGGAGAGGGAAACUGCAUUUCUCAGUGGGGAAGCUCUGUGCCAAUUCUGAGGAUGAAGAUGCCCACCAGUGGAGUCAGAAUACUAUAGUGUCUAGAUAUUGGUUCAAAACCAUCAUUUUGCCUCUGGGGCAGCCGAAGAUUACAGGUCUUGCUAUUUGGAGCUGCUGAGAAAUGACUGUUUUGUAAAAAGUAAGGCCGCCUCACUCAUUUCAGUUGCUAAUCCAGCCUCUCCCCUGUAUCUCUGUGCUGAACCUGGGGCUUGGGCAGGAAUUCCCUCCUGUCCUAGAUGGAUUCCUGGAUUCCAUGGUGGAUUUGAAACCACACAUCUCAGAUGGGGACUCAACCCACAAUCUCUGGCUUAGGAGAGGACACCAACCCACAGACUCCCAGCUGAAGCCACACCCAUUCCUUGUCUCAGGACUUAAUGAAGUGCAGGUCCUUUAUGUCAGAAAAAAAAAAAAAUUAAAACAUGUCAGUUAUAGCAGAAUGAAUCUCUGUGAGGAGAUCUGCAGAGAGAAGAGACCUAGGUUUUUUUAUUUUCCUACUGCAAGUGGGCCAGUCUGUAAAUUUAAAAUACUAAUACCCAGAGUGUGCCUGUUGUCUUUCACAGGAUAACUUUAUGAAAAUGCUUCCACUGAGAGUAAAAGUCUGGGGAUGUGUUCUAUCUUUUUUUCUCCCAGGAGAAUUAAAUUCUAGGCCUCACUAUUCCUAUGAUAGCUGUCCUGCAGGCUCUUGAUCUAUAAAACGUGUGAGUCAUAAUUAUAUAAAUCAGUGAUUAUCCUGAGGGAAUGUUGGAAAGAUUAAUAAGCUGCGUUUAAAUCAUGCGCAAGUCUUAGAAAAUAAGUGAAGUUAGGAGAUGUUGCAUUUGUGGAAAUGGCUAGUCUGAUAGGGUCACAGCAUGCGCUUGCCCAAGAACAAGCAUAAAAACACUGUAGUGACUUCCUGUUGUAGCUCACCUGGUUAUGAGUCCGACUAGCGUCCAAGAGGAUGUAGUUCAAUUCCUGGCUGUGCUUAGUAGGUUAAGAAUCUGGCAUUGCUGUGAGCUGUGAUGUCAGUAGCAGAUGCAACUUGGAUCCUGCGUUGCUGUGGCUGUGGUGUAGGCCUGCAGCUGUAGCUCCAAUUGGACCCCUAGCCUGGGAACUUGUGUAUGCCACGUGUAGCCCUAAAAAGCGAAAAAGACCCAAACCAAACCAAAACAAAAACCACUGUAAAAUCUGGCUGAGAAUGAUCCUAAAUCAUAACACCCUAAGAAAGGCAGAGAAAUCCCCAGGUACCGGACAGUAAAAGAAAACGUAAAGUGUCAUGGUUCAACAGAGAUGAAUCUGACUAGUAACCAUGAGAACGCAGGUUUGAUCCCUGGCCUCGCUCAGUGGGUUAAGGAUCCAGCCUUGCUGUGAGCUGUGGUGUGGGUAAAAGACAUGGCUUGGAUCUGGUAUUGCUGUGGCUGUGGCAUAGGCCAGUGGCUACAGCUCCAAUUCAGGCCCUAGCCUGGGAACCUCCAUGUGCCAAGG
rnacentral:lncRNA from 1 species